UACGUAGGGUGCAAGCGUUGCCCGGAAUUAUUGGGCGUAAAGAGCUCGUAGGCGGUCUGUCGCGUCGGCUGUGAAAACCCGGAGCUCAACUCCGGGCCUGCAGUCGAUACGGGCAAACUGGAGUACUGCAGGGGAGACUGGAAUUCCUGGUGUAGCGGUGAAAUGCGUAGAGAUCGGAAAGAACACCAACGGCGAAAGCACUCUGCUGGGCCGACACUGACACUGAGAGACGAAAGCUAGGGGAGCGAAUGGG
rnacentral:rRNA from 1 species